CAACCUAUAUUCAACAGGAUAGACAGAGGUCUUCCUUGCAGAUGCAGAUGAUAGAAGUAGGCUGCCAUAGACUGCGUGGGGAAUCUAAAUAUAGACUCGGCAACCAGCUGCCGAAAAUAGCUGUGACAGAACAAAUACACCAAGCAAGACAACUGAUUAUUUCCCCAGCUUCUACAAUGAGGCCUGACCCACAGUAAUCUCUGAAGCAAGAAAAUGAUGAGGUCCACAACCACCAAAGCAUCAGAUAAAUCGAAGAAAUCAAGGUCAGAUUCUGAAGGUAUUCAAGAACAUGUUACGAGAAACUCAGUCAAACUGCAGAUGAGGAAAGCGGGAUGGAAAUAAAAGCUUGUGAGGGAAGAAAAAGUACAGGAGCCUAAACUUCAUUGCAACGUCAUUUGGAAAUACCUAUCUAUGGUUUGGCAGCAAGUCCAGCCCAAGUCCCGGACUCCCAGACUAACAAAACUCUCUAAUAAGCAGAUGAAAAAGAAUCCUAUGAGAAGACGAUGAGAGGUAAAAGGAUGUAUUUAUUUAUUCAUUCAUUCAUUUUACAGCAUUUCUACCACGCCUUUCUCACCUAAAGGGACUCAAGGCAGCUUACAAAACUGGCAAAAUUCAAUGCCAGUAACACAAUACAAUAACAUCAACAUAGAGCAUUUCAAAACAAUUAAACAUUACUCAAAUAAAAACAAUAUACAAAGCUUAAAACACAUAAAGUGCUUGAAUCUAUUUGUCCAGGAACCUUGCACAUAAUCCUUAGUCUAGACCGUGUCGAGCCAUAAAGUUAUUCGUUAAAUGCUUGCGCAUAUAGCCAUGUCUUUAGUUUUUUCCUAAAGCCCAAAAGAGAUGGAGCCUGCCGGAUGUUGCUAGGGUGGGUGUUCCACAGAUGAGGAGCCACCACUGAGAAGGCCCUGUCUCUCGUUCCCACCAGCCGUGCUCGUGAGAUCGGUGGGACCAAGAGCAGGGCCUCCCCAGAUGAUUUUAAGGUUCUCAUUGGCUCAUAGGAGGAGAUACGUUCGAACAGGUAAGUUGGACCAGAACUGUUUAGGGCUUUAUAGGUCAAAACCAGCACUUUGACUUGGACUCGGUAGCAUAUUGGCAGCCAGUGGAGCUGGCGCAACAGAGGAGCGGUAUGCUCCCUGUAUGCCGCUCCAGUUAUCAGUCUGGCUGACGCCCGUUGUACUAAUUGAAGCUUUCGGGCAGUCUUCAAAGGCAACCCCACAUAGAGCGCGUUGCAGUAAUCCAAGCGGGAUAUAACCAGAGCGUGGACCACUGUGGCCAAGUCAGACUUCCCAAGGUACAGGAGCAGCUGGCGCACAAAUCUUAGUUGUGCAAAUGCUCCCCUGGUCACUGCCGAGACCUGGGGUUCCAGGCUCAGCUAUGAAUCCAGGAGAAUAUCCAAGCUGCGAACCUGUGUCUGCAGAAGGAGUGUAAUCCCCGUCCAGCACAGGCUGUAACCCUAUGCCCUAUUCGGCCUUACAACUGACCAGGAGGACCUCUGUCUUGUCUGGAUUCAGUUUCAAUUUGUUCGCCCUCAUGCAGUCUGACACAGCGGCCAUGCACCGGAUCAGGACCUGAACAGCUUCCUUAGUGACAGGUGGGAAGGAGUGAUAGAGUUGGACAUCAUCUGCGUACAAGUGACACCGUACCCUGAAAUUCUGGAUGAUCUCUCAUGUAGAUGUUAAACAGCAUAGGGGACAGUACUGACCCCUUCGAGACCCCCACAAGACAAUGGUUGCGGGACCGAGCAGGUGUUCCCCAGAUUAAUUAAAUGGAUUCAAAAUACACCAAUUACUUAAUUUCAAGAUUUUGCAGGGAAAAUAUUGUACAAAAUCCUUAAUUUGAGCCUAUUUAUCUCCAAACCAGUCAGAUUUAAAAGCAUUGGCUAGAUGUUACAUCCAGAAUCUUUCCAUGUGUUUGUCAUAUAUUUUAAUAAAAUAUUAAUGAUUUUUAAAACUGAGGGGAGAAAACCUUCGAAGAACACUGUUCAACCAACUGUCCUCAUGUUCAUACUAAUAAAUGGUUAAUUUUGAAACCACCCUGACUUUAAAACCAAUGUAUUGUAGUGGCAAAUGUUUUUUCCUGAAAGGACAAAGAUGGUACUAUAUAUAUUGUUUGAUUUUUUUUUUUAGUUGGUAUGUUAAGAAGAGUGAGGCUACAGUUGAAAGCUACCUGUAUUCAAUGAAAACCUGAUGCUUGUGAUUCUCCUUGUUAGGACUUAAGAACAGGAAGGCCCUGAACUGCUAUGGUGUGAACAAAGCAAUCACAAAGCAAUUUUCACAGAGACAGGUGUGGAGGAGUUGUUCAAAGUAGCUAAAGAUAAUGCUAAUGACUGCCGAUUUUUAAAGAAUGUUAAAGUUUUAAUUAAUUUACUGGAUGUUCAGAGAUGGGGGAAGCCUGCUGAAAUGUUGGGCUCACACUACAACAUUUCUUUGAGAACACUAUUGUUCAAGUAAUUAAAGUGUUCCACUGCAUUUCCUGAAUAACUCACUAUUGCUUAUCUAGACAGACCAAAUUUCCACUCAGACCACAACAGAUACAUCAACUUUCUCCCUUCAAAACUUCAAUCUAUUAUAUGAAUGUAACAGUUCAGCAAACUUCAUUGCACUCCAAAAAGCCUGUGGCACUUUAAUGAGGUUUCAUCCCCAGCUGCAGAUAGUCAAGGCACACAUUUUACAGAAACUAAAAUUAGAAGGAUGUUUCACCUUAACAGGCUUAUUUUCUGGGAGAAUCAAACUACACUUCUGCUGCUGAAGACAUCCUGUCGAUGUCUGCAUGAGUCUUUCCUUCUUGGUUUGCAUCCUAAUUAGAUGGAGGCAAAGCAAUAAGUCAUGCACACACAGACACUAACACAAAUAAAAGGGGGUUGUCAACCUAAUUAUGGUUUGUGUAGUACUGUGCAAGAAGAAACUCACUAACUAUAUAUGGGAACCGCAAACUCCGUAUCCAAAAUAAAGGUGGUGUCACAGAUGCACUAUUGACAAAAUAGCGGACACAACUCAGUUAAAUUGGUCUGAUUUAAACAUAUAGUAGAAGCCCGUAUCAGUGGGUGAAAUGUUCCUGGACUUUAUGUGGAUACAUGGAAUUGCAGACAGUAGAAACUCCAGCAAUACAUGGAGUGAGAGUUGCCAGAUGUCCAAGCUGGAUUUAGAAAAGGCAGAGGAACCAGAUACCAAAUUGCCAAUAUCCACUGGAUAAUAGAGGAAGCCAGGGAGUUUCAGAAAAACAUCUACUUCUGCUUUAUUGACUAUUCUAAAGCCUUUGACUGUGUGGAUCAUAAUAAACUAUGGCAUGUUCUUGGUGGUAUGGGGAUACUUAGCCACAGUAAGAAUAGAUCACGGAACAACAGACAGGUUCAAGAUUGGGAAAGGAGUACAGCAGGGAUGCAUACUUUCACCCUCCCUAUUCAACUUGUACGCAGAACACAUCAUGCGACAUGCGGAGCUUGAGGAAUCCAAGGCUGGACUUAAAAUUGCUGGAAGAAACAUUAACAACCUUAGGUAUGCAGAUGAUACCACUCUAAUGGCCGAAAGUGAGGAAGAGCUGAGGAGCCUUAUCACCAAGGUGAAAGAAGAAAGUGCAAAGGCUGGGUUGCAGUUAAACGUCAAGAAAACCAAGAUCAUGGCAACUACACCUAUUGAUAACUGGCAAAUAGAAGGAGAAAACGUGGAGGCAGUGACAGACUUUAUAUUUACAGGCGCAAAGAUCACUGCAGAUGCAGACUGCAGCCAGGAAAUCAGAAGACGUUUACUUCUUGGGAGGAGAACAAUGGCCAACCUUGACAAAAUAAUGAAGAACAGAGACAUCAAACUGGCAACGAAGGUCCGCACAGUCAAAGAAAUGGUAUUCCCCAUAGUAACCUAUGGAUGCGAGAGCUGGACCAUAAAGAAGGCUGAGUGAAGGAAGAUAGACGCUUUUGAACUCUGGUGCUGGAGGAAAAUCCUGAGGGUGCCUUGGACCGCAAGAAGAUCCAACCAGUCCAUCCUCCAGGAAAUAAUUGCUGGAUGCUUACUGGAGGGAAGGAUAUUAGAGGCAAAGCUGAAGUAUUUUGGCCACAUCAUGAGGAGACAGGAAAGCUUGGAAAAGAUCACGAUGCUGGGGAAAAUGGAAGGAAAAAGGAAGAGAGGCCGACCAAGGGCAAGAUGGAUGGACGGUAUCCUUGAAGUGACUGGCUUGACCUUGAAGGAACUGGGGGCGGUGAUGGCGUGGACUGGUCCAUGAGGUCACGAAGAGUCGGAGACGACUAAACAACUGAGCAGCAGCAGAGAACCCUAUUGAAAUAAAGGACUUCCAGCACAAUAAUGCCAUAGGCUCUCACUGGAGGAUCUUGAAAACGCAUAGAGAACCUACUUUGUCAGAUGUGGGUAAUUGAAACUGCAGCUACUGGUCCCAUGGAUACAGGGGUCGUACUGCACAUAAAUGACGAAAUCCUUGUUUUGUGUCUUUGUAAAGUUCAAUAACUUAGAUCCUAAAAUACAAAUUAAAUAAACAUAUGUAAUUGAACCUGUGAUCCAUUUCUCCAUUUAUUUUAUAGGAAACCCACAUCAGCAGUGCUGAAUAGGAACAGAUACUUUUCCCCAUUGCUUCUUAUGCCCUUCCUAGAAGAGUGUUCUGGUGAAAAAAUCACAACAGAAAAACUGUCAAGAUUUCCACAUUUUUAAAAUAGAAAUAAGAUUAAAUGCUCACACUCAGGGACUAUAGGUAGCAAUUUCACAGUCCUGCCAUGUUUUUGCCCCAACGGCUGUUUAAAACCCAGGAAACACCUUCUUGUAAAACAAAGAGUGAACCAGAAGUCACUUCUAAUUUUUGAAUAAAAUAGCCCCCUACAUAUACACCAAAACUUGGCAAAAUACAGUUGUCGUUUUUAAGAAGGACUAUUCCAGGCACAAAAAGCAUCCAGGUAUUGUUGGACUACAACUCCCAUGAACCCUGGCUAGUGCAACCAACAGUGAAAACUUACUAGGAGUUGCAAUCCAGACAUAAAUCCAGACACGGUUUGUCACCUCUGAUUGAGACAAUACCACUGGAUCAUCCAUAUAAUUCUGGAUUACCAUUUCAGCACUGCAACUGCAAACCUGAAGCUAACAAAAAGUCUUCUGAACUGCAAAUGUAUGCUCACUGAACAAUUCUCUUGAGUCUGUUCAAAUAUAUGGUCUGAAAGUUUGGAUUUGCCAUUAUUUUUAAAACUCAUUUCUUUCACAUAAGCUUUUUCUUGGAUGUAAGAUAUUUCAAUGUACAUGUCAAAGUUCCUUAGGUUGUGUCACAAGUGUAUAACAUUGCAAUUGAUUGAGGAGCAAACAUGUACAGGGCUGUAUUGUCAACAACUCACAGAAAAAUUAUAAAGUGUAAUUUCAUUACAGUAUCUGAUUUAAGUUUUGUAGCAUAAAUAACCAUUUGUAUGACUAAUAAAUUUCUGGAUGACAAAACUGAAACUUGCAGUACGAUAUUCUAACUUUCAUGAAGCAGAAAGGAAAAGUGUAGGAGCACCUUUUACUUGAAACAAAGAAUGUAACAGAAGGUAACUGUAACAGCAUUUUACGGAAACGUGCAUGAAGACAGCAAGAUGUGCUUCUGAACUUUUGAUGCUGCAGAACUACGAGUGUUAGACCACUAUACUCAGGGCCGUAGCCAGAAAAAUUGGGGGGGGGGGGUGUUUUGCUGAAUUGCUAAAUAUAAGGCCUCCCCCAAAAGUAAAACCUAGCAAAGUUUUUGUUUGGAAGCCUGCCCGCCAAACAGAAAACCAGAGCAUGCAGGAUUGGUAAAAGUAUUUACCAUAGAGUGUUGUACAUGGAAAUAAUGGUAGUAACAAGAAAUUCUUGAUAGGAUUCACGGUUUGUCUGGUUAUGCUGCUUUGUGAUGACAUCUACUGUACAGUAUAUAAUAAAUGUUCACUUUUUGUUCAACAAAAAAUGUGAAUUCUUCUUCAUGGAAAAAUAAGACAUCCCCGGAAAAUAAGACCUAGCGCAUCUUUGGGAGUAAAAAUUAAUAUAAGACACUCUUAUUUUCGGGGAAACACAGUAGUGUAUGCUCUAUCCUUCUAC